GCCGGGAUGGUGGAACGGCAGACACGGAGCACUCAAAAUGCUUUGCUCGAAAGGGCGUGCGGGUUCAAAUCCCGCUCUCGGCA
rnacentral:tRNA from 1 species